UGUUUCGGCAAGGGGGUCAUCCCGACUUACCAACCCGAUGCAAACUGCGAAUACCGGAGAAUGUUAUCACGGGAGACACACGGCGGGUGCUAACGUCCGUCGUGAAGAGGGAAACAACCCAGACCGCCAGCUAAGGUCCCAAAGUCAUGGUUAAGUGGGAAACGAUGUGGGAAGGCCCAGACAGCCAGGAUGUUGGCUUAGAAGCAGCCAUCAUUUAAAGAAAGCGUAAUAGCUCACUGGUCGAGUCGGCCUGCGCGGAAGAUGUAACGGGGCUAAACCAUGCACCGAAGCUGCGGCAGCGACGCUUAUGCGUUGUUGGGUAGGGGAGCGUUCUGUAAGCCUGUGAAGGUGUGCUGUGAGGCAUGCUGGAGGUAUCAGAAGUGCGAAUGCUGACAUAAGUAACGAUAAAGCGGGUGAAAAGCCCGCUCGCCGGAAGACCAAGGGUUCCUGUCCAACGUUAAUCGGGGCAGGGUGAGUCGACCCCUAAGGCGAGGCCGAAAGGCGUAGUCGAUGGGAAACAGGUUAAUAUUCCUGUACUUGGUGUUACUGCGAAGGGGGGACGGAGAAGGCUAUGUUGGCCGGGCGACGGUUGUCCCGGUUUAAGCGUGUAGGCUGGUUUUCCAGGCAAAUCCGGAAAAUCAAGGCUGAGGCGUGAUGACGAGGCACUACGGUGCUGAAGCAACAAAUGCCCUGCUUCCAGGAAAAGCCUCUAAGCAUCAGGUAACAUCAAAUCGUACCCCAAACCGACACAGGUGGUCAGGUAGAGAAUACCAAGGCGCUUGAGAGAACUCGGGUGAAGGAACUAGGCAAAAUGGUGCCGUAACUUCGGGAGAAGGCACGCUGAUAUGUAGGUGAAGCGACUUGCUCGUGGAGCUGAAAUCAGUCGAAGAUACCAGCUGGCUGCAACUGUUUAUUAAAAACACAGCACUGUGCAAACACGAAAGUGGACGUAUACGGUGUGACGCCUGCCCGGUGCCGGAAGGUUAAUUGAUGGGGUCAGCGCAAGCGAAGCUCUUGAUCGAAGCCCCGGUAAACGGCGGCCGUAACUAUAACGGUCCUAAGGUAGCGAAAUUCCUUGUCGGGUAAGUUCCGACCUGCACGAAUGGCGUAAUGAUGGCCAGGCUGUCUCCACCCGAGACUCAGUGAAAUUGAACUCGCUGUGAAGAUGCAGUGUACCCGCGGCAAGACGGAAAGACCCCGUGAACCUUUACUAUAGCUUGACACUGAACAUUGAGCCUUGAUGUGUAGGAUAGGUGGGAGGCUUAGAAGUGUGGACGCCAGUCUGCAUGGAGCCGACCUUGAAAUACCACCCUUUAAUGUUUGAUGUUCUAACGUUGACCCGUAAUCCGGGUUGCGGACAGUGUCUGGUGGGUAGUUUGACUGGGGCGGUCUCCUCCUAAAGAGUAACGGAGGAGCACGAAGGUUGGCUAAUCCUGGUCGGACAUCAGGAGGUUAGUGCAAUGGCAUAAGCCAGCUUGACUGCGAGCGUGACGGCGCGAGCAGGUGCGAAAGCAGGUCAUAGUGAUCCGGUGGUUCUGAAUGGAAGGGCCAUCGCUCAACGGAUAAAAGGUACUCCGGGGAUAACAGGCUGAUACCGCCCAAGAGUUCAUAUCGACGGCGGUGUUUGGCACCUCGAUGUCGGCUCAUCACAUCCUGGGGCUGAAGUAGGUCCCAAGGGUAUGGCUGUUCGCCAUUUAAAGUGGUACGCGAGCUGGGUUUAGAACGUCGUGAGACAGUUCGGUCCCUAUCUGCCGUGGGCGCUGGAGAACUGAGGGGGGCUGCUCCUAGUACGAGAGGACCGGAGUGGACGCAUCACUGGUGUUCGGGUUGUCAUGCCAAUGGCACUGCCCGGUAGCUAAAUGCGGAAGAGAUAAGUGCUGAAAGCAUCUAAGCACGAAACUUGCC
rnacentral:rRNA from 1 species